rnacentral:rRNA from 1 species
GAUUGCGUGUUCAGUGCUGAAAAUGAGACAAAUCAUCAAUUAUUCUUUGAUUGUGUGGUUGCCAGGAAUAUAUGGUCUUUUGUCAGUCAUCAUUUCCAAAAAGAGAUAGGCACUAAUUUUGAGUCUGUAGUAUGUUUUUGGAUCUCUAAUAAGAAGAACCUAGCCUUGAACGUUAUUAGCUCUGUUGUCCUAUGGUGUUUGUGGAAAUAUAGGAACUCUAUGAUUUUUAACAACACCAUCUGGACCUCUAUUACUCUAGUAUGGAGUCUGCUCCCUGGGAUGCUCAAGUUCUGGGUAAUUCUGACCCUAGAAGCAAGCAAAAACAAGGUGGAAGCAUUCUUGAGUGCUCUGACAAAGCUUCUCCAACAACCCCUGAGGAUCUUGAGUGGCUGA